rnacentral:rRNA from 1 species
GACGAACGCUGGCGGCGUGCUUAACACAUGCAAGUCGAACGGAAAGGCCCCUUUGGGGGUCCUCGAGUGGCGAACGGGUGAGUAACACGUGAGUAACCUGCCCUUGACUUCGGGAUAACUUCAGGAAACUGGGGCUAAUACCGGAUAGGAAUCCUUGCUGCAUGGUGGGGGUUGGAAAGCUUCGGCGGUUUUGGAUGGACUCGCGGCUUAUCAGCUUGUUGGUGGGGUAGUGGCUUACCAAGGCUUUGACGGGUAGCCGGCCUGAGAGGGCGACCGGCCACAUUGGGACUGAGAGACGGCCCAGACUCCGACGGGAGGCAGCAGGGGGGAAUAUUGCACAAGGGGCGGAAGCCGGAUGCAGCAACGCCGCGGGCGGGAGGACGGCCUUCGGGUUGGAAACCGCUUUCAGCAGGGGCGAAGCUUGUGGUGACGGUACCUGCAGAAGAAGCACCGGCUAACUACGUG